rnacentral:tRNA from 1 species
GAAAAUGAAAAUUUUAAAGCUGCUAACUUUAAAUAUUGCAAUAAAUUGUAACAUUUUCU